rnacentral:rRNA from 1 species
UGGGGAAUUUUCCGCAAUGGGCGCAAGCCUGACGGAGCAAUACCGCGUGAGGGAGGAAGGCUUUUGGGUUGUAAACCUCUUUUGUUAAGGAAGAAGCAAGUGACGGUACUUAACGAAUCAGCAUCGGCUAACUCCGUGCCAGCAGCCGCGGUAAUACGGAGGAUGCAAGCGUUGUCCGGAAUUAUUGGGUGUAAAGGGUGUGUAGGCGGACUUGUAAGUCAGAGGUGAAAGCCCACGGCUUAACCGUGGAAUUGCCCCUGAUACUGCAGGUCUUGAGUCCUGGAGAGGUCGCUGGAAUUCGUGGUGUAGCGGUGAAAUGCGUAGAUAUCACGAGGAACACCAGAGGUGUAGACGGGUGACUGGACAGGUACUGACGCUGAGGCACGAAAGCGUGGGGAGCAAACAGGAUUAGAUACCCCGGUAGUCC